GACGAACCGUGCGAACGUUGUUCGGAAUCACUGGGCUUAAAGGGCGCGUAGGCGGGUCUUUAAGUCAGGGGUGAAAUCCUGGAGCUCAACUCCAGAACUGCCUUUGAUACUGAAGAUCUUGAGUUCGGGAGAGGUGAGUGGAACUGCGAGUGUAGAGGUGAAAUUCGUAGAUAUUGCAAGAACACCAGUGGCGAAGGCGGCUCACUGGCCCGAUACUGACGCUGAGGCACGGAAAGCGUGGGGGAGCAACAGG
rnacentral:rRNA from 1 species